rnacentral:rRNA from 1 species
UACGGAGGGUGCAAGCAUUAAUCGGAAUUAUUGGGCGUAAAGGGCGCGUAGGCGGGGAUAAAAGUCAGAUGUGAAAGCCCGGGGCUCAACCCCGGAAUGGCAUUUGAACCUUUAUUUCUAGAGGGUAGGCGGAGAAAACGGAAUUCCACAAGUAGCGGUGAAAUGCGUAGAUAUGUGGAAGAACACCUGUGGCGAAAGCGGUUUUCUAGCUUAUACCUGACGCUGAGGCGCGAAAGCAAGGGGAGCAAACAGG